GAUGAACGCUGGCGGCGUGCCUAAUACAUGCAAGUCGAGCGAACAGACGAGGAGCUUGCUCCUCUGACGUUAGCGGCGGACGGGUGAGUAACACGUGGAUAACCUACCUAUAAGACUGGGAUAACUUCGGGAAACCGGAGCUAAUACCGGAUAAUAUAUUGAACCGCAUGGUUCAAUAGUGAAAGACGGUUUUGCUGUCACUUAUAGAUGGAUCCGCGCCGCAUUAGCUAGUUGGUAAGGUAACGGCUUACCAAGGCAACGAUGCGUAGCCGACCUGAGAGGGUGAUCGGCCACACUGGAAGUGAGACACGGUCCAGACUCCUACGGGAGGCAGCAGUAGGGAAUCUUCCGCAAUGGGCGAAAGCCUGACGGAGCAACGCCGCGUGAGUGAUGAAGGUCUUCGGAUCGUAAAGCUCUGUUAUUAGGGAAGAACAAAUGUGUAAGUAACUAUGCACGUCUUGACGGUACCUAAUCAGAAAGCCACGGCUAACUACGUG
rnacentral:rRNA from 1 species